rnacentral:rRNA from 1 species
GAACCCAAAAACUUUGAUUUCUCGUAAGGUGCCGAACGGGUCAUCAUAGAAGCCCGUCCGAUCCCUAGUCGGCAUAGUUUAUGGUUAAGACUACGACGGUAUCUGAUCGUCUUCGAUCCCCUAACUUUCGUUCCCUGAUUAAUGAAAACAUCCUUGGCGAAUGCUUUCGCAGUAGUUAGUCUUCAGCAAAUCCAAGAAUUUCACCUCUGACAGCUGAAUACUGACGCCCCCGACUAUCCCUAUUAAUCAUUACGGCGGUCCUAGAAACCAACAAAAUAGAACCGCACGUCCUAUUCUAUUAUUCCAUGCUAAUGUAUUCGAGCAAAGGCCUGCUUUGAACACUCUAAUUUUUUCACAGUAAAAGUCCUGGUUCCCCCCACAGCCAGUGAAGGCCAUGGGGUUCCCCAGAAGGAAAGGUCCAGCCGGACCAGUACUCGCGGUGAGGCGGACCGGCCAGCCAGACCCAAGGUUCAACUACGAGCUUUUUAACUGCAACAACUUUAAUAUACGCUAUUGGAGCUGGAAUUACCGCGGCUGCUGGCACCAGACUUGCCCUCCAAUUGUUCCUCGUUAAGGGAUUUAAAUUGUUCUCAUUCCAAUUACGAGACCCAAAAGAGCCCCGUAUCAGUAUUUAUUGUCACUACCUCCCCGGAUCGGGAUUGGGUAAUUUGCGCGCCUGCUGCCU